rnacentral:rRNA from 1 species
CCUACGGGUGGCAGCAGUGGGUAAUAUUGGGCAAUGGGCGCAAGCCUGACCCAGCAACGCCGCGUGCAGGAAGGAGGCUUUCGGGUUGUAAACUUCUUUUAUCCGGGACGAAGCAAGUGACUGUACCUGAUGAGUAAGCCACGGCUAACUACGUGCCAGCAGCCGCGGUAAUACGUAGGUGGCAAGCUUUAGCCGGAUUUACUGGUUGGAAAGGUCGUGGACGCGGUAGGGCAAGUCAGAUGUGAAAACUAUGGGCUCAACCCAUAGCCUGCAUCGGAAACUGUACUGCUUGAGUGCUGGAGAGGAGAUCGGAAUUCCGGGUGUAGCGGUGAAAUGCGUAGAUAGACGGAGGAACACCAGUGGCGAAGGCGGAUUGCUGGACAGUAACUGACGCUGGGGCGCGAAAGCGUGGGGAGCAAACAGGAUUAGAUACCCCAGUAGUC